GAUGAACGCUAGCGGCAGGCUUAAUACAUGCAAGUCGAGGGGCAGCAUGAUUGUAGCAAUACAAUUGAUGGCGACCGGCAAACGGGUGCGGAACACGUACACAACCUCCCAAUAAGUGGGGAAUAGCCCAGAGAAAUUUGGAUUAAUACCCCAUAACAUAACGAUGUGGCAUCACAUUGUUAUUAUAGAUUUUUCGCUUAUUGAUGGGUGUGCGGCUGAUUAGAUAGUUGGCGGGGUAACGGCCCACCAAGUCUACGAUCAGUAGCUGAUGUGAGAGCAUGAUCAGCCACACGGGCACUGAGACACGGGCCCGACUCCUACGGGAGGCAGCAGUAAGGAAUAUUGGACAAUGGACGCAAGUCUGAUCCAGCCAUGCCGCGUGAAGGAUUAAGGUCCUCUGGAUUGUAAACUUCUUUUAUAAGGGACGAAAAAAGGCUUUUCUAAGUCGUCUGACGGUACCUUAUGAAUAAGCACCGGCUAACUCCGUGCCAGCCGCCGCAGUAACAU
rnacentral:rRNA from 1 species